GGGAGCAUCGCAUAACUGGUAUUGCAGCGGACUGUAAAUCCGCCGCCUUAGGGCAUUGGAGGUUCAAAUCCUUCUGUUUCCA
rnacentral:tRNA from 1 species